rnacentral:tRNA from 1 species
GAGGGUGUAGCUCAGUGGUAGAGUGCACGCUUAGCAUUCAUAGACUGCGUGCUCAGCAUAUACAAGGUCCUGGGUUCAAUCCCCAGUACCUCCA